rnacentral:lncRNA from 10 species
AACUGCCCUGCGCCUCCGCUGGCCCGCGUGAAACCCUCUCUGCUGCCUCGACUGACUGUCGUUUCCGUGUCUUGAUUGUGGCCUCUGCCUCUCCCCCUUCCGAUUUCGUUCGACUUCUUUCUACAGUUACUAAGCGCCCACUGUGUGCCCUGGAAGGGACUAGACUCAGCAGGAAAAACAUCCAGGCAAGUGGACAGCAUUUGCAACAGCCCAGCAAUAAGAAGGACCAUAUUCUACUUGGGAAAAGGUAAAGUCGUUUCAUAUGGACGGAGAUGUUGUCGCUUGAAAUGUCAGGAAGUUUCCAUUCAUCACCCGCCCUUGAAAAUGCCACCAUCACCAUACUUCAUGUUUCCUUGCUUUCUUUCUUCAGAGGAAUCCAAGCACCUUGCAGAGGGAGCCCACUCCUUGUCACAG